rnacentral:rRNA from 1 species
GGGUUGUGAGGUUAAGCGACUAAGCGUACACGGUGGAUGCCCUGGCAGUCAGAGGCGAUGAAGGACGUGCUAAUCUGCGAUAAGCGCCGGUAAGGUGAUAUGAACCGUUAUAACCGGCGAUUUCCGAAUGGGGAAACCCAGUGUGACUCGUCACACUAUCAUUAACUGAAUCCAUAGGUUAAUGAGGCGAACCGGGGGAACUGAAACAUCUAAGUACCCCGAGGAAAAGAAAUCAACCGAGAUUCCCCCAGUAGCGGCGAGCGAACGGGGAGGAGCCCAGAGCCUGAAUCAGCAUGUGUGUUAGUGGAAGCGUCUGGAAAGGCGCGCGAUACAGGGUGACAGCCCCGUACACAAAAGCGCAUAUGCUGUGAGCUCGAUGAGUAGGGCGGGACACGUGGUAUCCUGUCUGAAUAUGGGGGGACCAUCCUCCAAGGCUAAAUACUCCUGACUGACCGAUAGUGAACCAGUACCGUGAGGGAAAGGCGAAAAGAACCCCGGCGAGGGGAGUGAAAAAGAACCUGAAACCGUGUACGUACAAGCAGUGGGAGCCCCACCACUAAGCCAGUGGUGAACUCCACAUACGCAUCCUUUGCUGAGGAUACGGUUAACGGAGCGAAAGCGACGUUCAACCGCAAAAGAAGCAGAGGGGGCUUAGUGGUGGGGUGACUGCGUACCUUUUGUAUAAUGGGUCAGCGACUUAUAUUCUGUAGCAAGGUUAACCGAAUAGGGGAGCCGGAGGGAAACCGAGUCUUAACCGGGCGUUAAGUUGCAGGGUAUAGACCCGAAACCCGGUGAUCUAGCCAUGGGCAGGUUGAAGGUUGGGUAACACUAACUGGAGGACCGAACCGACUAAUGUUGAAAAAUUAGCGGAUGACCUGUGGCUGGGGGUGAAAGGCCAAUCAAACCGGGAGAUAGCUGGUUCUCCCCGAAAGCUAUUUAGGUAGCGCCUCGUGAACUCAUCUCCGGGGGUAGAGCACUGUUUCGGCUAGGGGGCCAUCCCGGCUUACCAACCCGAUGCAAACUGCGAAUACCGGAGAAUGUUAUCACGGGAGACACACGGCGGGUGCUAACGUCCGUCGUGAAGAGGGAAACAACCCAGACCGCCAGCUAAGGUCCCAAAGUCAUGGUUAAGUGGGAAACGAUGUGGGAAGGCCCAGACAGCCAGGAUGUUGGCUUAGAAGCAGCCAUCAUUUAAAGAAAGCGUAAUAGCUCACUGGUCGAGUCGGCCUGCGCGGAAGAUGUAACGGGGCUAAACCAUGCACCGAAGCUGCGGCAGCGACACUCAGGUGUUGUUGGGUAGGGGAGCGUUCUGUAAGCCUGCGAAGGUGGCCUGUGAGGGUUGCUGGAGGUAUCAGAAGUGCGAAUGCUGACAUAAGUAACGAUAAAGCGGGUGAAAAGCCCGCUCGCCGGAAGACCAAGGGUUCCUGUCCAACGUUAAUCGGGGCAGGGUGAGUCGACCCCUAAGGCGAGGCCGAAAGGCGUAGUCGAUGGGAAACGGGUUAAUAUUCCCGUACUUGGUGUUACUGCGAAGGGGGGACGGAGAAGGCUAUGUUGGCCGGGCGACGGUUGUCCCGGUUUAAGCGUGUAGGUGUGUGUUCCAGGUAAAUCCGGUUCACUUUAACACUGAGGCGUGAUGACGAGGCACUACGGUGCUGAAGCAACAAAUGCCCUGCUUCCAGGAAAAGCCUCUAAGCAUCAGGUAACAUCAAAUCGUACCCCAAACCGACACAGGUGGUCAGGUAGAGAAUACCAAGGCGCUUGAGAGAACUCGGGUGAAGGAACUAGGCAAAAUGGUGCCGUAACUUCGGGAGAAGGCACGCUGACACGUAGGUGAAGUGAUUUACUCAUGGAGCUGAAGUCAGUCGAAGAUACCAGCUGGCUGCAACUGUUUAUUAAAAACACAGCACUGUGCAAACACGAAAGUGGACGUAUACGGUGUGACGCCUGCCCGGUGCCGGAAGGUUAAUUGAUGGGGUCAGCGCAAGCGAAGCUCCUGAUCGAAGCCCCGGUAAACGGCGGCCGUAACUAUAACGGUCCUAAGGUAGCGAAAUUCCUUGUCGGGUAAGUUCCGACCUGCACGAAUGGCGUAAUGAUGGCCAGGCUGUCUCCACCCGAGACUCAGUGAAAUUGAACUCGCUGUGAAGAUGCAGUGUACCCGCGGCAAGACGGAAAGACCCCGUGAACCUUUACUAUAGCUUGACACUGAACAUUGAGCCUUGAUGUGUAGGAUAGGUGGGAGGCUUUGAAGUGUGGACGCCAGUCUGCAUGGAGCCGGCCUUGAAAUACCACCCUUUAAUGUUUGAUGUUCUAACGUGGACCCGUGAUCCGGGUUGCGGACAGUGUCUGGUGGGUAGUUUGACUGGGGCGGUCUCCUCCUAAAGAGUAACGGAGGAGCACGAAGGUUGGCUAAUCCUGGUCGGACAUCAGGAGGUUAGUGCAAUGGCAUAAGCCAGCUUGACUGCGAGCGUGACGGCGCGAGCAGGUGCGAAAGCAGGUCAUAGUGAUCCGGUGGUUCUGAAUGGAAGGGCCAUCGCUCAACGGAUAAAAGGUACUCCGGGGAUAACAGGCUGAUACCGCCCAAGAGUUCAUAUCGACGGCGGUGUUUGGCACCUCGAUGUCGGCUCAUCACAUCCUGGGGCUGAAGUAGGUCCCAAGGGUAUGGCUGUUCGCCAUUUAAAGUGGUACGCGAGCUGGGUUUAGAACGUCGUGAGACAGUUCGGUCCCUAUCUGCCGUGGGCGCUGGAGAACUGAGGGGGGCUGCUCCUAGUACGAGAGGACCGGAGUGGACGCAUCACUGGUGUUCGGGUUGUCAUGCCAAUGGCACUGCCCGGUAGCUAAAUGCGGAAGAGAUAAGUGCUGAAAGCAUCUAAGCACGAAACUUGCCCCGAGAUGAGUUCUCCCUGAGACUUUAGGUCUCCUGAAGGAACGUUGAAGACGACGACGUUGAUAGGCCGGGUGUGUAAGCGCAGCGAUGCGUUGAGCUAACCGGUACUAAUGAACCGUGAGGCUUAACCUUACA